rnacentral:rRNA from 1 species
CCUACGGGAGGCAGCAGUGGGGAAUAUUGGGCAAUGGGCGCAAGCCUGACCCAGCAACGCCGCGUGAAGGAAGAAGGCCCUCGGGUUGUAAACUUCUUUUAUUCGGGACGAAACAAAUGACGGUUCCGCAUGCAUAAGCCACGGCUAACUACGUGCCAGCAGCCGCGGUAAUACGUAGGUGGCAAGCGUUAUCCGGAUUUACUGGGUGUAAAGGGCGUGUAGGCGGGAGAGCAAGUCAGACGUGAAAUUCCAGGGCUCAACCCUGGAACUGCGUUUGAAACUGUUCUUCUUGAGUGAGGGAGAGGCAGGCGGAAUUCCGGGUGUAGCGGUGAAAUGCGUAGAUAGACGGAGGAACACCAGUGGCGAAGGCGGCCUGCUGGACAUUAACUGACGCUGAGGCGCGAAAGCGUGGGGAGCAAACAGGAUUAGAUACCCUUGUAGUC